rnacentral:rRNA from 1 species
UACGUAGGGGGCAAGCGUUGUCCGGAUUUAUUGGGCGUAAAGAGCGUGUAGGCGGCCACACAGGUCUGCUGUGAAAACUCGGGGCUCAACCUCGAGCUGUCGGUGGAAACCGUGUGGCUAGAGUCCGGAAGAGGAGAGUGGGAUUCCCGGUGUAGCGGUGAAAUGCGCAGAUAUCGGGAAGAACACCCGUGGCGAAGGCGGCUCUCUGGGACGGUACUGACGCUGAGACGCGAAAGCGUGGGGAGCGAACAGG